GAUGAACGCUGGCGGCGUGCCUAACACAUGCAAGUCGAGCGAUCUCUUCGGAGAGAGCGGCGGACGGGUGAGUAACGCGUGGGUAACCUGCCCUGUACACACGGAUAACAUACCGAAAGGUAUACUAAUACGGGAUAACGUAUAAAAGUCGCAUGGCUUUUGUAUCAAAGCUUCGGCUGUACAGGAUGUACCCGCGUCUGAUUAGCUAGUUGGUAAGGUAAUGGCUUACCAAGGCAACGAUCAGUAGCCGACCUGAGAGGGUGAUCGGCCACACUGGAACUGCGACACGGGCCAGACUCCGACGGGAGGCAGCGGUGGGGAAGAUUGCACAAUGGGCGAAAGCCUGAUGCAGCAACGCCGCGGGAGCGAUGAAGGCCUUCGGGUCGUAAAGCUCUGUCCUCAAGGAAGAUAAUGACGGUACUUGAGGAGGAAGCCCCGGCUAACUACGUGCCAGCCGCCGCAGUAA
rnacentral:rRNA from 1 species